CCAAGGCGAUGGUGUGCUCCAGAGUGAUAGAUAUAACAGAGUGGCGACACUUCCAUUGGACUCUUUUUAUGUCCAUGCUCCGUUGUAGCGUUUUUUGCCGCCUACUUCCGGGGUAUGGAGCCUCGCAUAGUUCCAAAACAUCCAUUUACGGCGGAGGAGAUCAUUUCAUUUCCAUUGCCGUCGAGUAACUUCUGAGGUGGUGGCUGCUGGUGCUGGUGGUGGCGGGUGCUGAUGGUGUAUGCGGCUGAUGGUGUAUGCGGCUGAUGGUGUAUGCGGCUGAUGGUGUGUGCGGCUGAUGGUGUAUGCGGCUGAUGGUGGAUGCUGCCGAUGGUGGAUGCUGAUGGCGGUGGCUGCUGCUGCUGGUGGCUUGAGCUGGCUUGUGCCGGCGAAACACUGCUGCUGCAGGUCGCUGCUGCUUGAGGCGAUGGCUGCUUGUUGUGCAAAUAUAUCGUCUUUGAUUUCAGAACAGAUGUAAGGUUAAGACACUAAAGUCAGUAGCCUAGUGCUACCCAUGCUAACACGAACGUGAAGCUUUCCCUCAAACUUAAAAACGUAUUUAACCCUCCAGUUAUGUUUGUUUGUCAGGAACAGCAAUGGUGUUCCCGGGUCAAUUUGACCCGGUGCAUGUUUAUUAUCCAAAAGAUGUCCUAAACCAAAAAAAUCCCAACAAGCAGUGUGAACUUGUCAUUACUAACUCCAUUAGUAACUAUUCUAUCAAUAUGUAGUGCAAUAGUGUUCCUUACCUCUAACAGGUAAUGGUUCAAUUAGGAUAAUUCACUCGUUUUUCAUUAAAAAAUAUUUGUUCAAA